rnacentral:rRNA from 1 species
AAUGGUGGUUAUAGCGAGGGGGUUCCACCUCUUACCAUUCCGAACAGAGAAGUUAAGCCCCUCAGCGCUGAUGGUACUACCCGAGAGGGUGGGAGAGUAGGUCGCUGCCGUUU